rnacentral:rRNA from 1 species
GAUGAACGCUGGCGGCGUGCCUAAUACAUGCAAGUCGAGCGAACAGAUGAGGAGCUUGCUCCUCUGACGUUAGCGGCGGACGGGUGAGUAACACGUGGAUAACCUACCUAUAAGACUGGGAUAACUUCGGGAAACCGGAGCUAAUACCGGAUAAUAUAUUGAACCGCAUGGUUCAAUAGUGAAAGACGGUUUUGCUGUCACUUAUAGAUGGAUCCGCGCCGCAUUAGCUAGUUGGUAAGGUAACGGCUUACCAAGGCAACGAUGCGUAGCCGACCUGAGAGGGAGGUCGGCCACACUGGAACUGAGAAAGGGUCCAGACUCCUGCGGGGGGCAGCAGUAGGGAAUCCUACGCAAUGGAGGAAAGCGUGACGGUGCAAAGCCGCGGGAGGGCUGAUGGACUUAGGCUGGGAAAGUGAUGAAAGUAGGGAAGUACAAAAGUGCAAGUACCUAGGAACGUAAUGACGGUACCGAAUGAGAAAGCCACGGCUAACUACGUG